rnacentral:tRNA from 1 species
GUGGCUGUAGCUUAGUGGCAGAGCACUUGCCUAGUAUGCAUGAAGCACUGGGUUACAGCCUCAGCACCAUA